UAUGACUGANNGGCGGACGGGUGAGUAACGCGUGGGUAACCUGCCUUAUACAGGGGGAUAACAGUUAGAAAUGACUGCUAAUACCGCAUAAGCGCACAGUACCGCAUGGUACGGUGUGAAAAACUCCGGUGGUAUAAGAUGGACCCGCGUCUGAUUAGCCAGUUGGCGGGGUAACGGCCCACCAAAGCGACGAUCAGUAGCCGACCUGAGAGGGUGACCGGCCACAUUGGGACUGAGACACGGCCCAAACUCCUACGGGAGGCAGCAGUGGGGAAUAUUGCACAAUGGGGGAAACCCUGAUGCAGCAACGCCGCGUGAGUGAAGAAGUAUUUCGGUAUGUAAAGCUCUAUCAGCAGGGAAGAAGAUGACGGUACCUGAUCAAGAAGCCCCGGCUAACUACGUGCCAGCAGCCGCGGUAAUACGUAGGGGGCAAGCGUUAUCCGGAUUUACUGGGUGUAAAGGGAGCGCAGACGGCAGUGCAAGUCUGGAGUGAAAGCCCGGGGCCCAACCCCGGAACUGCUCUGGAAACUGUGCGGCUAGAGUACUGGAGGGGCAGGCGGAAUUCCUAGUGUAGCGGUGAAAUGCGUAGAUAUUAGGAGGAACACCAGUGGCGAAGGCGGCCUGCUGGACAGUAACUGACGUUGAGGCUCGAAAGCGUGGGGAGCAAACAGGAUUAGAUACCCUGGUAGU
rnacentral:rRNA from 1 species